rnacentral:tRNA from 1 species
GGGGGCGUAGCUCAGUUUGGGAGAGCACGAGGCUGGCAGUCUCGGGGUCAGGGGUUCGAUCCCCCUCGCCUCCA